CAGCGCCCCGCACAGCUCGGCUCGGCGCCGAGCGAGAGGUACGAAGCCAGCUCCCACAGGUUUUACAAAGGAAGAGAGACAGAGCAUGCAUCAAGAAUCUUUCUGACUGGAUUGAACCAAGUGUGACAAGAGACAAGGACAAUGAGCCAUUCAUUUGCAUCGGAUAUUGCAGGAAUAUCAUUUGCACUGUAAAUCUCAGGAGACUGCAAAAUUAACAUGGCAUCUGGUCCCUGGCGGAGACAGAAUGUUGAGCCCCCAGGAAGGCUUCUUGGCUUUGAAGACAAAGAUAAACUUUGGAGAUAUUAGAAGCUGCUACAGGACUUUAGGAUAUUCAUCACCUGAGACAACAAAGCAGUCAGCGCCUUGUAUCUGUGAAAGGUGGGUCCUCCUGUUACAACAGGCUGCAGAAUACUGACAAUAUGAUGUAAAAAACUAUGUUAGGCAAAAACUGUAUCUUGCUAGAAUUAAGUUGUCGAGACUAGAAAGCAUGUUCUUUUUGUUUUGUUUGUAGCGCUUUCAUAUCUCUUUCACUUUUGCUUGAAAUCAUUUAAAUCUAGGUUCUUUGUUAAUAAAAUUAUUCUUCGUUU